GCAGAGUGAGUUUGGCCAAGUGGUGAAUAAGUAUGAAGGACUAAGUGCUUGUUCGAGCAUAAAUUAUGGAUCAUAAAUGUUAUAGGCCUUAAAUCUUUCUCAUGGUAUCUGAGGACCAUAGAUAGGUACGUUAGGUAGGAAUUUCGAAUGUAGAUAGUUUACUCUUGGGACUAGCCAACCCGAGAUGUAAAUUAUCUUAUUUCGGAUUCUCGUGCC
rnacentral:lncRNA from 1 species